UACGAAGGGUGCAAGCGUUAAUCGGAAUUACUGGGCGUAAAGCGCGCGUAGGUGGUUCGUUAAGUUGGAUGUGAAAGCCCCGGGCUCAACCUGGGAACUGCAUCCAAAACUGGCGAGCUAGAGUAUGGCAGAGGGUGGUGGAAUUUCCUGUGUAGCGGUGAAAUGCGUAGAUAUAGGAAGGAACACCAGUGGCGAAGGCGACCACCUGGGCUAAUACUGACACUGAGGUGCGAGAGCGUGGGGAGCAAACAGG
rnacentral:rRNA from 1 species